rnacentral:lncRNA from 1 species
GGCUGGGGGAGAACUGCAUGGCUGCCAGAGGCUGCCUGGCACAGUCAUCAUCUGAGCAGCAGAAUUUUCCUGUCUGCUGGUUCCACUUUCAGACAGACUGCACAGACACAGCCCCCCAUCUGCUUCUAGUUGCUUGUAGUACUACUGGAGAAAUUUGCACAUUUUAAAACAAGCUUGUGACUUUUUUUUCUAUUGCAGUUGCACCAGAACCCAUUUGCCCUACUACCACUGUCCCCACCACUGCCCACACCCCUACAGAUGAUUUCAGAGCUGCAGAAGUCAGAUGUGGGAUUAAUAAGUAAAUACUGCACCUUUAUUUCCUGAUUUAAAACCCACAGUUCCCUGAGACAGCCGCCUCCUGCAAGGGAAGGCUUCUAUGUCACAUAUUUAACAUCUUGGGGGGUUUAAAUUUGGUUAGAAUUGCCUGCUCUGUGCACUGGGUGGGUGUUCCUAGAGAUGCUCAGUGCGGACACACACAUUAGUCUCAUGGGGCUGGGGAUAAAUGUUACACUCCAUAAAGUUUGGUGAAUUUGAGCAUUGCUGAAGCUUCAAUCCCUCUGCUGAAACUGGGGAUUCUGACAGGAUUUCCUGUGUAUCAACAGCCAUGAAAUACUGUACAUGUCACUGGCCUUCAUCUCUGGCAUCUUCCUGACUGUCCUGGUUUUUGCUAUCGUCUUCCUCUUCAGGAAAAGCUCUAAAAGAUCCCACCAAAAUUUACAAGAGGAAACUUUCUCCCAGAUGGCAGCUGAGGAAUCUGUUAGGAACACCCAGAAUGAAGUGACCUACAGCACUCUGGUCUUCCAGCGGGGCAGGACACCACUGCCUGUGUGACGAGGAAGCUCCAAACGAAAUAAAAACGAUCCCACUUUCUGGACAUCAAAAGCCACGAGGAUGUCACACCGAGGGAAUGCCCUGGGAAUGCCCCCAUGCCCUCUGUAACACAGCUCUUUUUGUAGUUAUGACAGGAAAUUGUCUCCUGUUCAAACUGGCUGCCAACUGCUGUGGACAAAUAGAGAGUUUCUGUACAGGAUUUCCUCAUCUGUAGAAAUCUCCGUGCCUUGUAAAGUUUCCGUUUGUGAGAACUACCAGAGAGAAGUGAGAAAUGAAAAUGUUUCUCUGCAUCUAUCCAUAUCUGUGCCCUCGUGUUUCCCUUUUCUGUCACCAACUCCAACAUUUUCUGUAUUUUUGUUUGAUUGCCAAGUGUUCUGCUUAGUUAUUUUCUGUUAUUGAAAUGAUGAUCAUGAAACGUUUGGAUGCAAAUCUCUGCUUCCUGGUUGGCUCGCAUAAAAGAAAUACACAGUCACAGUGUGACAACCAAAAUCCCUGGGAAUGUUCAUUCAGGUGC